CCUACGGGAGGCAGCAGUGAGGAAUAUUGGUCAAUGGGGGAAACCCUGAACCAGCAACGCCGCGUGAGGGAAGACGGUUUUCGGAUUGUAAACCUCUGUCCGCUGGGAAGAGGAUGACGGUAGCAGAGGAGGAAGCUCCGGCUAACUACGUGCCAGCAGCCGCGGUAAUACGUAGGGAGCGAGCGUUGUCCGGAUUUACUGGGUGUAAAGGGUGCGUAGGCGGCUUGGCAAGUCAGUAGUGAAAUCCAUGGGCUUAACCCAUGAACUGCUAUUGAAACUGUCGAGCUUGAGUGAAGUAGAGUUAGGCGGACUUCCCGGUGUAGCGGUGCAAUGCGUAGCGAUCGGGAGGCACCCCAGUGGCGACGGCGGCCUACUGGGCUUUACCUGACGCUGUGGCACGAAAGCGUGGGUAGCAAACAGGAUUAGAUACCCGAGUAGUC
rnacentral:rRNA from 1 species